UGAUAUGCGCCGCUCAAGAGCAAGAGUGCAAGACCUUGCGAAAUGGAUGAAGCCAUUAUCAUAAAUGUACUGCUAGUGGCUUCUUGCAGAGCUACCGCUAUCAAAUCCUUUUUAUUUUCUGUUGAGUAGGCAAAGCACGACUGUUGCAAGUAAUUAUGACCAAAACCAAGGAUGCAUAAUUUGAAUUAUCUGGGCCAUUGGGUCUGUCCGAAGUUCAUCCAAAAUUCCAAAUGCACUAAUUCGGAUUCCAAAGCGACAAAAGUGGGACAAAGACCACAUAUGCUGCUAUUUGAAGCUGCUUCUUGUUUUUACUGUAAUUUUGAACUCCGGAUGUUUACGUAGCGUCUGGUUAUUGAAUAGUUGAUCUGGUUGAUUGAACAUGAAUCGACAACCAUGGAGAUGAAAGUUGACCUGGAUGUCAUGUCAUGUGUUGUUAGGUUAGGGCGCGGCGGCCGAUGGCUGGGCGCCGUCCUUGCGCGGUGGAGGCUGUGGCAGGGAGGAGAUGGCGUAGGACAGGAGGAGGCUAGGGUUAGGUGUCCCGGCUCCCUAAGGAAGCCGAGCAAUUAAAUUAUGUGCUUCUUGCUUAAUCUCAAAACGGGUCCUUACAUGAGUUUAUAUAAUCCUCUUAGUGAUAUAAUUGGGCUAAGCCGCUAACACGAUAAGAUAAUUGGGCCAGGCCCCUAACUGCCUGGGCUGUAAUAUAUGCCACUCAUAACAUGUGUUUUCUGCUUUAUUAUUUCUGGGAUAAGAUGAAUUGUUCCCUUUUCUUCUAUCACAAGAAAGAAAAGCUGGGAGUACAUUUUAGCGUGUUGUGGAGUGGAACCCGUUCAGUUUUGUUCCCCCGCAUUUACAAACCAUGUAUAGAUAUAGUGAGUAGGAAACAUGUAUAGAUAUACAAACAUGGUGUUCUCCAUCCGCUCGUAGACUAGCUAGUACCCACUCAUGGAUCUCCUCCUGGCCAUACUGAUGGUGCUCGUGCAGGAGCUUUGCAAGAUUGAUAUGCAAGCUAGUACGUACUACUGUAUGUUGCAUACUCUCUGUCUGCUGUGAAGUCAAUGUGUGGCAAAUUUCACUUCAUACGUACAAGAAAUAAUUAGCGCCUUGUACACGACGUUAAAUUCCGAGUCCGGGAAAAAGUCCUCCUGGACACUCAGAGUAUACAGAGCUAUGGGCCUAUCUCUCUCUCUCAAAAAAAAAAGCUAUGGGCCUAUGGCCCAACCGUGCUGCCGCAGAUGGAGCGUUGUGUUUAGCUUUUGUUAGUACCAUACCGCUUAGCUGGGUCAAGCAGGGCUAGUUUAUAAGUCGCUCCCCGGGCAGUGUUAGCACCACACGGCAGGUGUGGUCAGCCCUUCAUAUUGAUGAGUAUUUGAAUUUGAAUGAUGUCUCUUGAGUGGAAGAGGAGAAGAAGGAAAGAUGACAAGCUAGUUUUUCUUACAUAUACAUAUACACCAUAAAUUUAAUCAUCUUUCUUCUUCCGAUCAUGGGAUUUUUUUUCCUUGGGUAGAAAUGAAGCUGCAGUGCAUCGUGUUAGUGUUUCUAGUCUCUGAUCCAUGUUCCACUUGCUACGGUACUCAUCUCUCUUGGCCCAAAAAGCUUAGCCUGUGGUACGGACUAUAUAUAGCUGGCCCCUCACGCACAGCCAAUGUCAAAUGACACGCGCGGACCGAGCCGGACCCCGUGACCGUCCAUCGCUUGAACAGUUUGUGAUAUCUUGGGACGAAAAUGAAAUCAUUUACGUUUUGAGUUUCUCGUCAUCCUCCAUGCAUGGCUUCAUUGUGUUUCAGCUUAUCAGGGUGAUACGGUGAGAGUGUGUGUAAUAGGAAUAUGUUUCAGACAAUUGCAACAUUUCUAACUUAGUCUCGUAACACUGGACUGGAUGUCGCCUUCGUUUAUCCUUUUUCCUUUCAGGGUAUGUGUUUAAAUCACGACAUGCUUUUAAGUUUGUGAGGCAAAUGCUAUAUAUAGUCCGUACCACAGGCUNNNNNNNNNNNNNNNNNNNNNNNNNNNNNNNNNNNNNNNNNNNNNNNNNNNNNNNNNNNNNNNNNNNNNNNNNNNNNNNNNNNNNNNNNNNNNNNNNNNNGUCCGCGCGUGUCAUUUGACAUUGGCUGUGCGUGAGGGGCCAGCUCCGCCGUUGGCCGUGGGGUUGCUUGGCAUGGGGAGGUGUGUGCCGGUGUUGGUUAGCAUUGCCACAAAGUCAGGCAUGGCAGGCCUCUGCUCUGGCAAAUGUUGCACGCAGAGAAAACCAAUAUGGAGGUGUGUCCAAGCUUCAGCAUAGGGUCGAGCCAUGGCAGGGGCGGUGACUCUCCAAGGCGGCCCGGGUCGUAUUGAUGAACUCCUCCUUAGUUAGCCUGCUUAUGUUCUUGAUGGGAUUCUAUAGUUUGCAUGAAUCCCUUCACUAGGAAGUCACCAAGUAUUUGUCUCAUUUCUUCUGGGCGAGACCAGAUAAUAGACAGAAAUAUCACAUGGUGAAAUGGUCUGAGGUUUGCAAGCCAAAGGACCAAGGUGGCUUGGGAGUCAUCUCGUCCAAGCGGAUGAACAUAGCCUUGCUCUCCAAAUGGUUAUGGCGCAUUGAGGCAGGAGAUGGGGGCCUAUGGCUCCAGAUUAUCCGCGCAAAGUACCUGCGUGGACAACCCCUUGCCUUCGCCUCCCGGACGGGUGGCUCCCAGUUUUGGCAAGCCGUCAUCCAGCUUAUGCCGGUCCUACGGAUUGGAACAUCCAUCUCGGUGGGGACAGGCACCAACACCCUGUUCUGGCUUGACCGUUGGUCGGGUGAUAGACUAUUUGCCCAACGUUUCAGCUUAAGUUUGGUUAUUGAAUAGUUGAUCUUGUUGAUUGAAUCUGUAUCGGCAGCCAUGGUAUAAUGGAGAUGAAAGUUGACCUGGAUGUCAUGUCAUG
rnacentral:lncRNA from 1 species